CCUACGGGAGGCAGCAGUGAGGAAUAUUGGUCAAUGGCCGGAAGGCUGAACCAGCCAUGCCGCGUGAAGGUCAGUGCCCUAUGGGCGUUAAACUUCUUUUGUGCGGGAGCAAUAAUGGUCACGUGUGGCCAGACGAGAGUACCGUACGAAUAAGCAUCGGCUAACUCCGUGCCAGCAGCCGCGGUAAUGCGGGGGAUGCAAGCGUUAUCCGGAUUUAUUGGGUUUAAAGGGUGCGUAGGCUGGGAGGUAAGUCAGCGGUGAAAUGCCCCCGCUCAACGGGGUGAAGUGCCAUUGAUACUGCCUGGCUGGAAUGCGGAUGCCGUGGGAGGAAUGUGUGGUGUAGCGGUGAAAUGCAUAGAUAUCACACAGAACACCGAUUGCGAAGGCAUCUCACGAAUCCGCGAUUGACGCUGAGGCACGAAAGCGUGGGUAUCAAACAGGAUUAGAUACCCUUGUAGUC
rnacentral:rRNA from 1 species